AAUAGAUACCCGGGUAGUCCACGCCGUAAACGAUGAGUGCUAAGUGUUGGGGGGUUUCCGCCCCUCAGUGCUGCAGCUAACGCAUUAAGCACUCCGCCUGGGGAGUACGGUCGCAAGACUGAAACUCAAAGGAAUUGACGGGGGCCCGCACAAGCGAUGGAGCAUGUGGUUUAAUUCGAAGCAACGCGAAGAACCUUACCAGGUCUUGACAUCCCGGUGACCACUAUGGAGACAUAGUUUCCCCUUCGGGGGCAACGGUGACAGGUGGUGCAUGGUUGUCGUCAGCUCGUGUCGUGAGAUGUUGGGUUAAGUCCCGCAACGAGCGCAACCCUUAUUCUUAGUUGCCAUCAUUUAGUUGGGCACUCUAAGGAGACUGCCGGUGAUAAACCGGAGGAAGGUGGGGAUGACGUCAAAUCAUCAUGCCCCUUAUGACCUGGGCUACACACGUGCUACAAUGGACGGUACAAACGGUUGCCAACCCGGCGAGGGGGAGCUAAUCCGGAUAAAAACCGUUCUCAGUUCGGAAUUGUAGGCUGCAACUCGCCUACAUGAAC
rnacentral:rRNA from 1 species